AGAGUUUGAUCCUGGCUCAGAACGAACGCUGGCGGCAUGCCUAAUACAUGCAAGUCGAACGAGAUCUUCGGAUCUAGUGGCGCACGGGUGCGUAACGCGUGGGAAUCUGCCCUUGGGUUCGGAAUAACAGUUGGAAACGACUGCUAAUACCGGAUGAUGACGUAAGUCCGAAGAUUUAUCGCCCAGGGAUGAGCCCGCGUAGGAUUAGCUAGUUGGUGAGGUAAAGGCUCACCAAGGCGACGAUCCUUAGCUGGUCUGAGAGGAUGAUCAGCCACACUGGGACUGAGACACGGCCCAGACUCCUACGGGAGGCAGCAGUAGGGAAUAUUGGACAAUGGGGGCAACCCUGAUCCAGCAAUGCCGCGUGAGUGAUGAAGGCCUUAGGGUUGUAAAGCUCUUUUACCCGGGAUGAUAAUGACAGUACCGGGAGAAUAAGCUCCGGCUAACUCCGUGCCAGCAGCCGCGGUAAUACGGAGGGAGCUAGCGUUGUUCGGAAUUACUGGGCGUAAAGCGCACGUAGGCGGCGAUUUAGUCAGAGGUGAAAGCCCGGGGCUCAACCCCGGAAUAGCCUUUGAGACUGGAUUGCUUGAAUCCGGGAGAGGUGAGUGGAAUUCCGAGUGUAGAGGUUGAAAUUCGUAGAUAUUCGGGAGGAACACCAGUGGCGGAUGGCGGGCUCCAUUGGGACAGGCAUUGACGCUGAGGUGGCGAAAGGCGGCGGGGAGCAAACAGGGAUUAGAUACCGCUGGAUAAGUCCUCGGCGGGUAAACGAUGAUUACUAGCUGCUGGGGACGCUAGGCCGACUUCGGGUGGCGCAGCUACGGCAUUGAGGUUCAUUCGCCCUGGGGGGAGUACGGUCCGCAAGGAUUCAAAACUCCUAGCG
rnacentral:rRNA from 1 species